rnacentral:rRNA from 1 species
GAUGAACGCUGGCGGCGUGCCUAAUACAUGCCAGUCGAGCGAACAGAUAAGGAGCUUGCUCCUUUGACGUUAGCGGCGGACGGGUGAGUAACACGUGGGUAACCUACCUAUAAGACUGGAAUAACUCCGGGAAACCGGGGCUAAUGCCGGAUAACAUGUUGAACCGCAUGGUUCUACAGUGAAAGGCGGCUUUGCUGUCACUUAUAGAUGGACCCGCGCCGUAUUAGCUAGUUGGUGAGGUAACGGCUCACCAAGGCAACGAUACGUAGCCGACCUGAGAGGGUGAUCGGCCACACUGGAACUGAGACACGGUCCAGACUCCUACGGGAGGCAGCAGUAGGGAAUCUUCCGCAAUGGGCGAAAGCCUGACGGAGCAACGCCGCGUGAGUGAUGAAGGUCUUCGGUUCGUAAAACUCUGUUAUUAGGGAAGAACAAAUGCGUAAGUAACUGUGCGCGUCUUGACGGUACCUAAUCAGAAAGCCACGGCUAACUACGUG